rnacentral:lncRNA from 1 species
AGGGAUAAAGAAAAUAUGGUAUGGACAAACAAUGAAAUAUUAUUCAGCCUUAAAGAAUGAAAUCCUGUCAUAAGUUACAACAUGGAUGAACCUAGAGGAUGUUAUGCUAAGUGAAAUAAGCCAGUCACAAAAGACAAAUACUGCAUGAUUCCACUUACAUGAGGUAGCUAAAAUAGUCAAACUCAUAGAAAUAGAAAAUAGAAUGGUGGUUGCCAAGGGCUGGGGGAAGAAACAGUGGGAAGUUUGUUCAGUGGCUAUAGCAUUUCAGUCAUGCAGGGUGGGGGUGGUUCUGGGCAUCUGUUGCACAACAAUAUGCAUGUGGUUGAUGCUUUUGUAUACUUGGAAAUUGAAAGGGUGAAUUUUAUGUUGUUUGUGUGUUUGUUUUCUAGAGAGGGUCUUGCUUUGUUGUCCGGGUUGUAGUGUAGUCCAGAGAUCAUAUUUCAAUGCAGACUUGAACUCCUGGGCUCAAGCCAACCUCCCCACUUCAUCCUCCCAAGUAGCUGGGACUACAGCCAUGAGCCACCACACCCGGACUAAAUUUUGCUUUGUCUUGUGUAGAGAUGGGCUCUUGCCAUGUUGCCCAGGCUGGUCUUGAACUGUGGCCUCAAGUGAUUCUCCCACCUUUGCCUCCCAAAGUGCCAAGAUUACAGGUGUGAGCCACUGCACCCUGCCUACGUUGUGUCUUUUUUCCACAAUUGAAAAAAAAAGGCCGGGCACGGUGGCUCAUGCCUGUGAUACUAGGACUUUGGGAGGCCAAGGCAGGUGGAUUGCUUGAGUCUAGGAGUUCAAGACCAACAUGGCCAAUAUGGCAAAACCCUGUCUCUACUAAAAAUACAAAAAUUUAGCCAGGCAUGGUGGCAUGCACUUGUAAUCCCAGCUACUCAGAAGGUUGAGGUGGGAGGAUUGCUUGAGCCCAGGAGGUCGAGGCUGCAAUGAGCUGUGAUGGUGCCAUUGCACUUCAAGUCUGUGCAACAGAGCAAGACCCUGUCUCAAAAAACAAAAAGGCCAAAUAUUUUUCUUAACAGAUUGUUUCUAAUCCAUGUCACAGUGAGAUCACUGAGUAAAUGCUAGUUAGGAGAGGUAGGUUUGACUGUAAGUCAUACUGGCUGCUUAAAUCAGUUAGUUCACGCCUCUGGAACUCACUGAUCUACCUAUUAUUCUGUGGUGGAAGAAUACAUCAUGGCCUGUUUUACCCAUCGACCCCAAGAAAAAGUGCCUUCCAAAAGGUUCUUGAUGAAUAAGCAGGAAGCAUAUUUAUGCUUUAUUAUCCCACCUCCUGAAACACAGAUUGAGGUGAGCACCUGGUUCUGGGAAACCUACCCAUAGAUUCCUCAGUGACCCCUGCUGCCACCAGAAGAUUUCUGUCAGGAAUCCAAAAUUUGGAACCAAUAAACUGUAAAGUGCUAAAGUAAACUAAAGCUCUAAGGUAAUGAGAUAAAAUUUAAGCUAGAAAGGCCUUGAUAGUCCAUAUAAAAAAGUUAUGAAAGAGUUAAAAUCUAGAAUGGUGCAGGAACAAGAUGGAGAGAAGUAUCAUGACUGAGACUUUCUGGUUCACGUGAGAAUGGCCUGCAUUUUUUUGGUCUGGUUUUCUGCAGUUCAAAUAUAUGGUUAUGUGUGGGUUUGUUGUUGUUAUUUAUCCUGUUUAGUGUUUACUGAGUUUUCUGGCUAUUUGGUUUGGUGUCUGUCAUUAAUUUUGGAUAGUUUUCAGGCAUCGUUACUUCAAACAUUUCUUCUUUUUUCUCCUUUUAGUAUUCCAUAAUUGUGUAUCUUUGGGAAUUUUCCAACAGUUCUUGAAUGUUCUGUUCCAUGCUUUUAUUUUUUUAUCUUGCAUUUGAGUUUGUGAAUUUCUAAUGGCUUGUUUUAAGCUCACUGAUCUUUUUCCUUGGCCAUGUCGAGUCUACUGAGGAGUUCAUUGAAGGCUUUUUUCAUUUUUGCUAGUUUCAGAAAUUCCUAGCAUUUCCUUUUGAUUCCUUCAUAGAGUCUCCAUCUCUCUGUUUACAUUACCGAUCAGUUGUUGCAUGUUGUCUAUUUUUCCAUUAGAUGUCUUAGUAUAUUAAUCCGUUAUUUUAAAUUCCGUUUGAUAAUUCCAACAUCUAUGCCGUAUCUGAGUCUUGUUCUGAUUAUUGCUUUGUCUCUUCAUAUUGUGUCUUUUCUUGCUUCUUGGCAUACCUUGUAAUCUCUUUAUUGAAACGUAUACAUGUUAUUGGGUAACAGAAACUGAAAUAAACAGGCUUUCAGUGUGAGGAUGCAUAUUAGUCUGGCUAGGAGUUGAGCUGUAUUUAAUAUUUGGAGUAGGUACAGGUACUAGAGCCUUCAAAUUCCUCAUGUCCUUGUUUUUGUCUUUCCUCUUGACUUGAGGCUUCCUUAAGUACUCCUCCUCAGAGAGAGAGUCUGUGUCUGGCAUCUCUUACAACUGUAAUCCACUGUUACAAUAUUAAAGUCCUGGUGGUAUGAUGGCAAGGUUUAAUGAGGGAGGGUCCUAUAGUCUUAAAAUUAAGUAUCAGUCUUUUAAUUAGUCCUGUGUUUCUGGGCUGUGACUUCACAAGUGUUUUUCCAGUGAUAUAGAUUUCCCCUACUCCCACUCCCUUCUCCAUUCACUGGCUACCGAGUUUUUAAUCUAGUUGCCCCAAGCCCUGACUCCUAUUGACUAUGUUCCCCACCCUCUUUUAGGUGAGAAAAAAAGCAUCAGCUGGGAAUGGAGUGGAAGGAAUGCCAUUAUCCCAGCUGGGAAAAAGCUCAGACAGUCUUUUGCCCUGGAGAGUAGGCCUAUGAGAAGGCUCUGGGCUUAUUACAUAAUGAUUUCUCUUUUCCGCCUCCUGCCAGAGUCAUGAGAGGGUUUUUUUUUUUUUUGGUUGAAUCUCCACUGUGACAACACUGUUCUUGGAAGUACAGUCCGUGAAACUCUGGGGAUUCCCCUAAGACUGCAAAGUCCAGGAGUUUCUCACUUUUGCACUAGUCCGAACUCAGCCUCCAGCAAUCCUUCAAAAUAAUCACUUAAUUUUUCAAAAUAAUCUAAUAGUUCAUGGCUCCAGUGGUUUCCACUCUAGAUAAGCAGAUCUUGGCUGUGACUGUCUGGGUGCACCUGUCUCCAGAUUUUGGUGUGGUGGUUCCCUAUGGGUCCAAAAGUCCUUGAUUUUCAGUUUUGCCAGCAUUUUCUUCUGGUAAGGAUGAAGUGGUGAUUUUCAAGUUCUUUAUAUGUCAGUUUAAAAUGGAAUCCUUAUUGCCUCCAUUCUUAAAGGCUAAUUUUUGAUACCUGUCCUUGGAUUUUCAUGAGAUUCUCUAAAAUAAACCAUUUUUUCUCUAGAGUUGGCUUGAGUAGGUCAACCACACAAUCAAAAGACCUGUGUCUAAAACUUAUUGCCUGCCAUGCAUCAUAGCUUCUUCAACUGUUCAAAGGGGCUGGUUAGGCUAAAAUAACUCUAAAAUCCCUAUUAAUCAGCUAGACAUAAAAUAAAUAAUACAAAAAAGAUAUCAUGCUUUAACCAGUCCUCUUGAAGCUACUGAUCCUUUGUUUGCAGAUGCAUCUUCACUAUUAGGAAGGGUAAAUAGUAAUUUAGCAUGGGGGGAUAAAAGAAAAAUAUUUUACUUGUAAAACUGGAUCAGGGAAGGAUAUUUCUAACAAAUAAGGGUGUUAUCGCCACAAAAGUUCAAAUGUAUGCAGCUGACAAUAUGAACCUCACUUGUGUUUCAGUGGGUAUAGAGUUGACCCUUGAACAACAUGAAGGUUGGGGCGCUGAAACCCCCCAGUCAGAAAUCCAUGUAUAACUUUUGAUUCUGCAAAAAGUUUACUAAUAGCUUACUGUUGAUCAGAGGCCUUACUGAUAACAUCAACAGUUGAUUAACAUAUAUUUUGUAUGUUAUGUGUAUUAUAUACUGUAUUGUUACAAUAAAAUUAGAGGAAAGAAAAUGUUAAGAAAAUCAUAAGAGAAAAUAUAUUCAUCACUCAUUAAGUGGUAGUGGAUCAUCAUGAAGGUCUUCAUCCUUGUCAUCUUCACGUUGAGUAGGCUGAAGGAGGAAAAAGAGGGGUGGCUGGUCUUGCUGUCCCAGGGGUGGCAGAUGUGGAAGAAAAUCAACAUGUAAACACACAGUUCAAAUUCAUAUUGUUCAAGGGUCAACUCUAUUACCAAUAAUUAGGUAAUUAAACCUUUUCAUGAAGAUUGAAUCUUUUAAUGUAAGACACCAAUCAAUAAUACUUAUAUCUCACUUUAUUCCAAAACAGAUUAAAGUAUCUGUGAUAGAUCUCCGUUUUGUCUGCCUGGCAUCCUAUUUGAUUCUGUGACUAUCAAACCUCUUAUUUUGGGGAAAUGAUCUUUCCUCAACUCCAAUCAAUCAUAGAACCCACAUCCCUGGCCAUGGAGAUGGACCUAUGACCUGUCAGGCAGAUCAGUGAGAAUGCUCCCCUGAGACUUUCAGAAUUAGGUCUAUGGAGAUAGGGGAAAUCCUUCCUGUGGACCUAAGUGCUGCUGUUGCCAUAUUUCCAGCUAUGUGGAGGAACCCAGGAGAAUGAAGUCAAUACACAGAGGAGAAAAGGCAGGGAGAAUCCCCAGCAUCAUUUGUGUUUGUGAAGUUUACUGCACUCCUACUCUUCUCCUUGUAUGAUUAGAUGAUUCAGUAUAUUACUCUCUUUCCUAAGCUAGUAGAUUUCUGUCAUUUAUAGCCAAAAGUUGGGCUAAUACAGAAGCUGAUAUUAAGGGUUUCUCUUUGGUUUGAUUUGAAUGUCUAAAAUAUUAUCCUUAAACAUAAGCAAAAAAUUCUACUGGAAAAAAAAAAACCUUGAGGUGUGUUCUCCACAAAAGCAAAAUCAAGGAUAUUAGAUUAUAGAAGAAAGGCCUUAAAGUUAAAACACUGAACAGGAUCUUACCAUCUGAGUUAUGUACAAAUUCCUUAAUUACUCUAUAUCACAGAGGUAUCUAUAAUUGAAGAUAACACCUGUC